AAACCUAUGUUCUCCUUUCGGAGGUAUGC
rnacentral:sRNA from 1 species